GUUCAACUCGCCUUCGGUUCUGGCUUGAGGAGCCGGCGUAUUCUGAGAAACCAAACAAACCAUAUGCCGGAGACACUCAAUAGUCCAGGCAGCAUCCGUGAACGGAGAAACAGAUUACAAUUCAGGGCCAUUUCCUGAGUUAGCAUCCCUUACAUUGCUGCGGUUUGUAUCAGUAUGCCUCUUGUAUCAUCAUGUAAGUGAUAUCAUCCCAUCAUCAGUGAGACCCCUGAUUGUGCUAUUGGAGCUGACACCUUUGGUCUGUUCUCUGCAAUCAAAGGAAUGUAAUCCUGACUUAAAGUGAGGACACCCAGUAUAUGGAUCUGAAAAGGUUAAUACCGUGGAGUGCCAUAAGCUUCACCCACGGUGAUGAGGUCAAAUAGACUUAUGGGAAGCACAGCUCAGGAUCUUGAUGGAGUGAGGUCUACCAUCU